GAAUAUUUUACAUAUUAUAGGCAGCGGUUCCGCGAUUGACGCUAAUUUUAUCAAUAUUGACAUGUCCUUAAUAAAUAUUUGAUCAACUUGUUUGUAUUUGUAUAUUAUAUUGGGCAGGUCCAUUAUUUCUGUAGAUACCUACGUCAAAACGAACAGAUUUCACCAAUGAAAUUGCGGACGGCAAACGAGCAUCGUCAUCUGUUUACAAAUUCGAUUACCUACUAUAAAACUUAAUGUGUACCGUGUAUCAAAA